AUCCCCGCCCUCCUGCCGGCAAACUGCUCUGGGCAAUCAGGCCUUUGGGAGUUCUUCUGGGUGAAGCAUGUGCUCCGUCCGAGCUGCAGAGUUUCAAAUGCACAUUACCCUGACAGGAACCCAUCGUCAGUCGCCACACUUUCGGUGUGAAGAGCGAAGGGGUCCUGAGGUCUUGGGCGCUCAGGUUGACGAAGGCCUGAGGCUCUUCCGGAGGUCCUUCGUGAAGAGGGAAGUCAGGGGAGUGGGAAUUAAACCGGCAGUUCACCCCCCGGUCCUGCCAUCCCUGCAACUCUGGCCGCUUUUCACCCCGCCCCCCAGGGGCCAAGUCCUUGCCUGGCGGUCAACGACCUGCGCCGCGCUUCCGGGGAAAACCCCAGAAAACAGAGCAGCAGGAAGCCGGCGUGGAGGAAGAGCUCCGAGAGACUCGGAGCCCGCGGGUGGGACCCCGCUUCUCCGCGCGGAGCCUCCCUCCGUGGCGGCCGGACCCAGCCAACCUCAGCAACCCCGCUUCUAAGAAUAGACCCCAUGGAUGCACUGGUAAAAAAAAAAAAGCCAAAUGAUACAUGCACGAGGCUAUUCAUCGUAACUCUAUUGUAAUAGCCAAAGAUUGGAAAUAGGCACGUGUCCAUCAGAAGGGGACUGGUUGGCUAAGCCACACAAUGGAGGACCCUGAGGCCGCAAAAGGAACAAGAUCACAACAUACCAUCGCAGAGAGAUCACCCGGGUGGCUUCUUCUGCAAAAGACCCUGCGGGCAAAGCAUCCUGUGAUGGGAACCAAAACUACCACCCCCUGAAGCAAUAAGGACUGCCCUCAUGCCUGCAAGCCUCCCGUGACUGACGCCAAGACAAUGAUUGACCUGACCUUUACUGCCCACCUGCACGUACCCACUGACAUUUGCCCCACAUUUUCCUUAUAUAAACCUACAGAUAUUCUCAGCACUUUGGAGAUGGUCUUUGAGAUGCUAGUCCGUGGUCUUCAAGGUGUUGGCUGCACUGAAAUAAAUUCCUUUCUGGUUUCA